GGGUUGUGAGGUUAAGCGACUAAGCGUACACGGUGGAUGCCCUGGCAGUCAGAGGCGAUGAAGGACGUGCUAAUCUGCGAUAAGCGUCGGUAAGGUGAUAUGAACCGUUAUAACCGGCGAUUUCCGAAUGGGGAAACCCAGUGUGAUUCGUCACACUAUCAUUAACUGAAUCCAUAGGUUAAUGAGGCGAACCGGGGGAACUGAAACAUCUAAGUACCCCGAGGAAAAGAAAUCAACCGAGAUUCCCCCAGUAGCGGCGAGCGAACGGGGAGCAGCCCAGAGCCUGAAUCAGUGUGUGUGUUAGUGGAAGCGUCUGGAAAGGCGUGCGAUACAGGGUGACAGCCCCGUACACAAAAAUGCACAUAUUGUGAGCUCGAUGAGUAGGGCGGGACACGUGGUAUCCUGUCUGAAUAUGGGGGGACCAUCCUCCAAGGCUAAAUACUCCUGACUGACCGAUAGUGAACCAGUACCGUGAGGGAAAGGCGAAAAGAACCCCGGCGAGGGGAGUGAAAAAGAACCUGAAACCGUGUACGUACAAGCAGUGGGAGCACGCUUAGGCGUGUGACUGCGUACCUUUUGUAUAAUGGGUCAGCGACUUAUAUUCUGUAGCAAGGUUAACCGAAUAGGGGAGCCGAAGGGAAACCGAGUCUUAACUGGGCGUUAAGUUGCAGGGUAUAGACCCGAAACCCGGUGAUCUAGCCAUGGGCAGGUUGAAGGUUGGGUAACACUAACUGGAGGACCGAACCGACUAAUGUUGAAAAAUUAGCGGAUGACUUGUGGCUGGGGGUGAAAGGCCAAUCAAACCGGGAGAUAGCUGGUUCUCCCCGAAAGCUAUUUAGGUAGCGCCUCGUGAAUUCAUCUCCGGGGGUAGAGCACUGUUUCGGCAAGGGGGUCAUCCCGACUUACCAACCCGAUGCAAACUGCGAAUACCGGAGAAUGUUAUCACGGGAGACACACGGCGGGUGCUAACGUCCGUCGUGAAGAGGGAAACAACCCAGACCGCCAGCUAAGGUCCCAAAGUCAUGGUUAAGUGGGAAACGAUGUGGGAAGGCCCAGACAGCCAGGAUGUUGGCUUAGAAGCAGCCAUCAUUUAAAGAAAGCGUAAUAGCUCACUGGUCGAGUCGGCCUGCGCGGAAGAUGUAACGGGGCUAAACCAUGCACCGAAGCUGCGGCAGCGACACUAUGUGUUGUUGGGUAGGGGAGCGUUCUGUAAGCCUGUGAAGGUGUACUGUGAGGUAUGCUGGAGGUAUCAGAAGUGCGAAUGCUGACAUAAGUAACGAUAAAGCGGGUGAAAAGCCCGCUCGCCGGAAGACCAAGGGUUCCUGUCCAACGUUAAUCGGGGCAGGGUGAGUCGACCCCUAAGGCGAGGCCGAAAGGCGUAGUCGAUGGGAAACAGGUUAAUAUUCCUGUACUUGGUGUUACUGCGAAGGGGGGACGGAGAAGGCUAUGUUGGCCGGGCGACGGUUGUCCCGGUUUAAGCGUGUAGGCUGGUUUUCCAGGCAAAUCCGGAAAAUCAAGGCUGAGGCGUGAUGACGAGGCACUACGGUGCUGAAGCAACAAAUGCCCUGCUUCCAGGAAAAGCCUCUAAGCAUCAGGUAACAUCAAAUCGUACCCCAAACCGACACAGGUGGUCAGGUAGAGAAUACCAAGGCGCUUGAGAGAACUCGGGUGAAGGAACUAGGCAAAAUGGUGCCGUAACUUCGGGAGAAGGCACGCUGAUACGUAGGUGAAGUCCCUCGCGGAUGGAGCUGAAAUCAGUCGAAGAUACCAGCUGGCUGCAACUGUUUAUUAAAAACACAGCACUGUGCAAACACGAAAGUGGACGUAUACGGUGUGACGCCUGCCCGGUGCCGGAAGGUUAAUUGAUGGGGUCAGCGCAAGCGAAGCUCUUGAUCGAAGCCCCGGUAAACGGCGGCCGUAACUAUAACGGUCCUAAGGUAGCGAAAUUCCUUGUCGGGUAAGUUCCGACCUGCACGAAUGGCGUAAUGAUGGCCAGGCUGUCUCCACCCGAGACUCAGUGAAAUUGAACUCGCUGUGAAGAUGCAGUGUACCCGCGGCAAGACGGAAAGACCCCGUGAACCUUUACUAUAGCUUGACACUGAACAUUGAGCCUUGAUGUGUAGGAUAGGUGGGAGGCUUUGAAGUGUGGACGCCAGUCUGCAUGGAGCCGACCUUGAAAUACCACCCUUUAAUGUUUGAUGUUCUAACGUGGACCCGUGAUCCGGGUUGCGGACAGUGUCUGGUGGGUAGUUUGACUGGGGCGGUCUCCUCCUAAAGAGUAACGGAGGAGCACGAAGGUUGGCUAAUCCUGGUCGGACAUCAGGAGGUUAGUGCAAUGGCAUAAGCCAGCUUGACUGCGAGCGUGACGGCGCGAGCAGGUGCGAAAGCAGGUCAUAGUGAUCCGGUGGUUCUGAAUGGAAGGGCCAUCGCUCAACGGAUAAAAGGUACUCCGGGGAUAACAGGCUGAUACCGCCCAAGAGUUCAUAUCGACGGCGGUGUUUGGCACCUCGAUGUCGGCUCAUCACAUCCUGGGGCUGAAGUAGGUCCCAAGGGUAUGGCUGUUCGCCAUUUAAAGUGGUACGCGAGCUGGGUUUAGAACGUCGUGAGACAGUUCGGUCCCUAUCUGCCGUGGGCGCUGGAGAACUGAGGGGGGCUGCUCCUAGUACGAGAGGACCGGAGUGGACGCAUCACUGGUGUUCGGGUUGUCAUGCCAAUGGCACUGCCCGGUAGCUAAAUGCGGAAGAGAUAAGUGCUGAAAGCAUCUAAGCACGAAACUUGCCCCGAGAUGAGUUCUCCCUGACUCCUUGAGAGUCCUGAAGGAACGUUGAAGACGACGACGUUGAUAGGCCGGGUGUGUAAGCGCAGCGAUGCGUUGAGCUAACCGGUACUAAUGAACCGUGAGGCUUAACCUUACAACGCCGAAGGUGUUU
rnacentral:rRNA from 1 species